rnacentral:lncRNA from 1 species
GCGACAGGCUCCGCUUUUUCCAUCCUCCCUGAGAUUCCGGCCAAUCUUUGGAUGUCGCGCAAGGAAGAAACUUUGAAACCUCGUCAAAUGACGGCGACGGGGGAAUAUGUCGAGAUGCGCGAGAGUAGCUUCGCAAUCAAUGCCUAUUGUCAAUUUAUCCUUAACUGGGACGAAUGUUCCAGUCUUAAUUAAUUACACAUUACCUCCCGCCAUUAUUUCUAAGAAAACUUCCUCCGGGGUACCGGGUGAAAGAAUAACCAAUUAUAUUUUAAAACCCUUUGUAGCUUCAGUAAUCUGAGCUAAACAACUUUUUACUAUCAAAAUUAAAACCAAUUAGAAAUUAUGAUAUAAUUCAAUGGUUUCAGAAAUAAUAAUAUAAUUUAAUGGUUUAACCAAUUGGGCAAUCAAAUAGCUCAGUAUUUUUUUAUUUGUGAUACUUUUGGAAGCAUUCUCCAAUAUGUUAUGGUAUUUUACAAGUUUUACACAUGUACGCACUUAGUUUCCUUGUUUUAUCUGCAGAACAUACGCGGCAAUUUCUUCUAACGAGUUUGUUAGCCUUAUCGCUGAUCAUUUUUUAGACGCGACAGGAAUUUUGAGACCCCUCAUUUUCCGUCCUUAUCGAAAUACCACCCUAGCACUGGAUGUCAGGGAAAGGAAAAAUGUAAACCUCGUCCAAGGACGUAACAGGGAUAUUUAUAGGAACGCGCGAAUGUCGCUUCGCUAAGAUGGUGGUUCAAUGAGCACCGAUCUUCAAUUGUCGCAUGUGACAUUUCGCUCGCCCCCUUCUUGACAUUUCCCAGACCGGGAUGGCAGCAAUACCGGGACAACGAUAUCAUUUGCACGCUCUGCUCGCCUUGCGAUAAGUAUUUCUGACAGACCCCCGAUAUGUUCCUGGUUCGCCUCCACCUGGUGGACUAGGAGGCAAAUGUCUGUACUUUCGAAAUGUUAAUCGUCUCCUGACAUAAGAGCGACAUGCGUGGUUGCCUGAACAAGUACUUCCUGAAUCGAGGUGCUAUUCACUUAGGAAAUCAUGGAUUUCAAUUGCUGCUUAUCAUAUGAAAUCAAAGACAAUCGGCCCUUAAAGGAAGGAAAUCGUUUUCACUGAUUUCCAGGUGAAUAGUUCCUUGCCAUAAAUCGUAUAGGCCGUACAAUUUAAUGAUGUCAUGACAAAUCGUACCGAAAAGGGAUAUCCUGAUGAAACCCUCGUGUUGUUCAGGGUACCUUAGUGCUCCAUCAGCAAAUCCUCAGCCGGGUAAUCGAAGCCUGACUGUAUCGGAGAGGCGCUAUCUCAGCCGUUAGAGAAAUACAUUCGAGGAAAAGGGAGGACAAGGAAUGAAAGAGCAAAAGGAAGAAGUCGACGUAGAUCCGCGGAAUAUCCUGGUUUCGGGGUUUGCUGCCACGGCACUUGACUCCAUUAUACGCAACAGAGCCAAAUCGGGGGUGUGACGUGCAGACCGGACACCCGGAAGAUUGUCAAUCAGUGCGACCUAUCUAGACUUGAUUACAACGCGGCGGGUCUAUUCAUCACGUUUGCAGCUCUCAGGACAGCUGUUUGAAUUUUUCCGACCGAGUUCGUUGGACCUUUUUCCAAAAGCCUGGCCAUACGAACUGGGAUUCCCCGGAAAAUGGGCUUUUUCGAGCAGAAAUUUUCUGAUAUUGAAAUAUCUAUGAGGGGUGGUGACUAUAGGCAGCCAAACUUUUAUGCCUGGACGUCAGAUUUUGAAGGGUGGUCUAGAAUGAAUUAUAUUGUUUAUAAAUAUUGAGCUUUUUGAAGGUUGCGUGGUUUCGGUUGGAGUGAUAAUGAACAUUGAAAUGUUUCUAGGACGUGGGAAGUAUUUAAUGGCGCACGUGGGUUCCUAACUUUUAUAUCUGGACUCUAGAUUUUCAUGGGUGGUUGGGAAGAAAUGAAAUUGUUUUUCAUUGUUAGGAAGCUAUUUGCUUCCUGCGUGUGUUGCAGGAAUGUUGAUAAGAAUAUUUGCCUGAUGUCAGAUUUUGACGACUGGUCUAGAAUGAAUUAAAUUGUUUAUAAGUAUUGAGAAGCUUUUUGAAGGUUGCGUGGUUUCGAUUGGAGUGAUAAUCAACAUUGAAAUGUUUGUAGGACGUGGGAAGUAUUUUAUGGCGCACGUGGGUUCCUAACUUUUAUAUCUGGACUCUAGAUUUUCAUGGGUGGUUGGGAAGAAAUGAAAUUGUUUAUCAUUGUUAGGAAGCUACUUGCUUCCUGCGUGUGUUGCAGGAAUGUUGAUUCGAAUAUAUAAACAUUAAUAAAAUGUCGCGUUUUGGUUCUUUCAACUUGUUGGAACUCUGAACUUUACAUGGUGGCCCCGAUAGGUAGUGACAAUGAGACACUUAAAAGAUUUUACAGCCUUCAAAAAGAUUCAUUGCGCCCUCUUGGUACAUAUAAUGCGUACAUUGAAGUAGGGAAACGUCUAACGAGCCGCAUGCUCUCUCAAAGUACUUCUUGAGAAUUUCGUCUCCUUCCUGGACUGAAAUUAAGUUCAAUCUUUCCCGUACUAAAGGCGUGAGGAAUCUCUGGGAGACCAUCAAACAUUUAUAGUACCUCAUUAUCAAUGACAAAAUGAAACCCUACGCAUCUCGUAUCCCGCGCAAAUACCUAGUAUUGUCACUAAUAUAAUGUACUCUUUGCAAUGUCAAUCAAUGGAUAAAAUUUCAUACAACAUUACGUUUAUAGUAUUUGAUCAUCAAUGACAAAAUGAACGGGCAUGCAUCUCGUAUCCCCCGGAAAUACCCAUUGUCACUGACAUAAUUGACUCUUUGCAAUGACAAUCGAUGGAUAAAGUUUUAUACAAGAUUACAUUACAGAGAGACAAAAACUACAGACGUCACGGAUCGACAUUCUUGUAAUGAGAAAGUGUUGAAAAGUAUUUUCAUUACUUCCGAACGUCAACGUAAUUUCUUUGGUCUUCACUAAUGAGGAAUUUUGGGAUGUCGAGAGAUAUAGGAGCUACACUUAAUUCAGCUUUUCUCGUUUGAUUACGAUUCGAAGCCUGACGGCUCACUUUAGAAUUUGCAAGACUUGGGCUUUCUUAACCAAGUAUCUGCACUCCAUUACAUUCUAGUAUUAUGACAUCAUCACGAUGAACUUUAUCCAUCCUACCUCGAGGUUGACGACGAAUGGUUACAAGCGAGAUUGAGACGUUCGACCGAACGCAAUGAAUGAUUCGCGGCAAUAAAGACUUUAUAUCCUCGAGUAAAAGAAAUGAUCCCAGAGUGUAGUUCCUUAAGUUUUUAUUGCGAUCCGUGUAAAACGACUGCAACGUUAAAAUCCCACCGAUAAACGAGCCCCUUCGAUCCGAUGCUGAAGCUAGAUGUCAUUUUGCUUGACACUUUCGUUUCGUCAUUCGGACGUUCACAAAAUCCGACAUCGAAUACAUGGCGAUUCAAUUAUGCUCGUCUUGAACCGAGAAUCACUUACAUAGUAAUAAUUUCUAUAUGCUAGCAUAGAUUUUCAUAUUUAAUUAUUGUGCACAUUUAAAAACGUAUUAGAGAAUUAGGAAAUAUUCGAUGUAAUUCAACCGAAAAUCACUUAUCAUAUACCAUUCAUAUUAUUCAUAUCAUAUAUAAUUACAUCGAAUAUAAUGGAUUAACCUUGUCACAGGAUAUUACAUGAAACAAAUACCAAUUCAAGUACUGAACAAUGUAAUUAUCAAAAUAUAUAAAAUUAUCAAACUAUUAAGGUUACUCAUAGAAUAAAAUGCAGCCAGUAAUGAUCAUUCCGAGCAACUUAUUUCUCCUUUUCCGAAUUAUCCUUCUAGGAUCGCGAUAUACAAUUAAUCCUAUCGCAAUUACGCG